CCCACAUACACACACACUUCAGACACUGUCACCAGAGCUCAUAAAUGUAAAACAAAGCUCUCGAUUCUUUUAAGCAGCACUUUAAACAUUUUACAUCCUAAAGGGUUAGGUUUAGAAGGCAUGUAAUACACGCGUUUCUUAUAAAACACCGUCUUUAAAACGUUUACCUCCUAAAGGGACCUAUUUAGAAGAGUGUUAGAAGGACCAUGUGUGCAACGUGUGUGGGGUGGAAAACACAUGGCCGUACCAGGGGGUUUCUCCCUUCAGUCUCCUCUUCAGGAGGUGAAAUGCUGCUCAACUGGUCUGUUGAUUGACUUGUCCAGUCUAAAACCUUCCACUUUUCCCCCCUGAAUAAGGUGUUUGUUGAGUUGGCAGUGUGUUUGGAAUCAUUAUCUUGCUGCAUGAUGAAGUUCCUCCCAAUCU
ensembl:lncRNA